rnacentral:rRNA from 1 species
UACGGAGGGUGCAAGCAUUGAUCGGAAUUACUGGGCGUAAAGGGCGCGCAGGCGGUCGGGAAAGUCAGAUGUGAAAUUCCGGGGCUCAACCCCGGAGCUGCAUUUGAAACUUCCUGUCUAGAGUUCAGUUAGGGAAAACGGAAUUCCACGUGUAGCGGUGAAAUGCGUAGAUAUCAAGAGGAACACCUGAGGUGAAGACGGGUUGCUGGGCUGACACUGACGCUGAGGCGACGAAAGCUAGGGUAGCAAACGGG